AAGACUAUAGACCUGCGGAGUACCUGCGGAAGGAUCAUUAACGUUGGGGACUAACAAUCCCUCAGCGAGAUAGAACCCUUGCCUUUUCGAGUACCACACGUUUCCUCGGCAGGUACGCCUGCCAAUGGGGACCACAACAAAACCUUUUGUAAUAGCAGUAGACGUCUUAAAAACAAAACUUUUAAAACUUUCAGCAAUGGAUCUCU
rnacentral:misc_RNA from 1 species